AUCCCAUGGUUCGGACACUUCCUCAAUAAAUCUUUUAAUCUCUCCCAGGCUUCAUAAAGAGAUUUGUUGUCAUGCUGGUAAAGUUAUUGAUUUCAGCUCUAAGCUU